rnacentral:rRNA from 1 species
GUAGGUGGCAAGCGUUGUCCGGAAUUAUUGGGCGUAAAGCGCGCGCAGGCGGUUCUUUAAGUCUGAUGUGAAAGCCCACGGCUCAACCGUGGAGGGUCAUUGGAAACUGGAGAACUUGAGUACAGAAGAGGAAAGCGGAAUUCCACGUGUAGCGGUGAAAUGCGUAGAGAUGUGGAGGAACACCAGUGGCGAAGGCGGCUUUCUGGUCUGUAACUGACGCUGAGGCGCGAAAGCGUGGGGAGCAAACAGGGAUUAGGUACCCUGGUAGUCCACGCCGUAAACGAUGAGUGCUAAGUGUUAGGGGGUUUCCCGCCCCUUAGUGCUGCAGCUAACGCAUUAAGCACUCCGCCUGGGGAGUACGACCGCAAGGUUG